UGGGGAAUAUUGGACAAUGGGCGAAAGCCUGAUCCAGCCAUGCCGCGUGUGUGAAGAAGGUCUUCGGAUUGUAAAGCACUUUAAGUUGGGAGGAAGGGCAGUAAGCUAAUACCUUGCUGUUUUGACGUUACCGACAGAAUAAGCACCGGCUAACUCUGUGCCAGCAGCCGCGGUAAUACAGAGGGUGCAAGCGUUAAUCGGAAUUACUGGGCGUAAAGCGCGCGUAGGUGGUUUGUUAAGUUGGAUGUGAAAGCCCCGGGCUCAACCUGGGAACUGCAUCCAAAACUGGCAAGCUAGAGUACGGUAGAGGGUGGUGGAAUUUCCUGUGUAGCGGUGAAAUGCGUAGAUAUAGGAAGGAACACCAGUGGCGAAGGCGACCACCUGGACUGAUACUGACACUGAGGUGCGAAAGCGUGGGGAGCAAACAGG
rnacentral:rRNA from 2 species